UAUAAUUCUUAAUAUUUUCAGUACAUACCAAGUUGAAUAUAAACAUUUUUUUGUAUUUAGGCAUAUGAUAACAUCAACAUAUAACAUAUUUUCUAAUGCCUGAUUAGAAACUUAUAUCUAGUCAGAUUAUAUUGCUAUGCUUCAGCUAAUGAAGAUUGUGGCAAAUGUGUUCUAAAAUCUUCCUUUAUUAAAUAUAUAUAAUACUGAUUGUGAUUAAUGAGGAACAUAAUACUGAAGCAACAACUAUAAUCAGCUAGCAGAUUUUCAGUAACAGAUUUUGUUGUAAAAAUAAGUUGCAUUUCCCAUUUUUCCUGCAUAAUAAAUAUAUCUGCAGAUUCUAUUCCUGUAAUAGUGGCUUGUGAAGUAAGUUUGUUAUGGAUUUUGAAUUAACAUUCUAUAUUAUAGAAACGUCAUUCUCUUCAUUAACAGAACAUAGCCUGAUUUGCUGCUGUUUUGAUUUAUGAGACUGUUAUUGUAGGCACUGAUCACGGCAACUCUAUUGCAGCUGAUUUUGCUAUAAAUAACCAAGUGUCACAUUAGUAGGCUUUCAAAAAGAAUUCACGUUCAUCUGAUAGGGGUCAGAAAACUGGUAAUAUUUAUUCCUGUUAUUCCUUUGUUUUCCGCUUAACCAUAUUUACUGGCACAAAUUCUUGAGAAUAAUUUCCACAAUUUCUUUUCCCUGCAAAAUCUCAAUAAUAUUUUAAUUUACCUGCUAAAGAGUUCUUGCAAUUUUCUUCACAAGAUUUCAGAGGGGAUUUGUCAUUGCCUUCUUCCCAGGAGUCAAGCUAGUUUUUGUGCCUAAAAUGGGACUAGAACACAUGGCCUCCUGGUCUCUAGCCCACUAUAUUGAACUAGCUCUUAACUAUCAUGUUCUCUACAACUGAUUAUUUUUUUAAAAAAGCAGACUUUUACUUCAUGAAGGCAAAAACAGUUGUUUGGAAUUUUUAGAUUUUUAGAUCCUUUGUAUCUAAGCAAUCCUUUCAGUAAACAAAACUUAACAGAAUUUACUUUAAAUAAGGUAUAAGAUGCGUAUAUGAAAAAAAGAAAAUGGUGUGAUCGUAGAGUUCUUCGGGUAUUAAGGCAAAGCUCUUAGAUGGGGUCCUCCAAUGAUAAAGGAAGAGAGGUGCUGAACUCUAUCUACCAGCUUCAACAACUGAGAACAAGAAAGAGAAAGGAAAAAGGAGGGCUAAACACACCUAAAGUAUGUUGUCCCUCACUAUUUCACCCCAUUUCCUUCAAAACUUAGCCACAUGUGCAAACAUCACUCACGCCGCACUUCUCUGAAGAUUCCAGUUCAGAACUUGAAAACCAGAUAACCAGUAGAUAGUAAUGUAUACUUUUGUAUCUCAUUGCUGCCUAGUUUUUGCUGAUCAGAUAAGAUAGUAAUGGAGUAGAUAUGGACCAAAGACAGUCAGCAGAUUUCUGAUUCUGCUGUCUUUUUAAAAUGGAUGCUGUGUUUUAAAAGCAUUACAGUUCUGCAGUUCUUACAACUUGCAACACAUCACAAUAGAGAUGCUAUUGGGGAAACAUGCAUUGAUGCAAAAUUGAUUAUAUGCUAUCAUUUUAAUUUUAAGAGCCUCCUAGAGCUUUAAGUGCAACAGAAGUAUGAAAACUGGAAAAUUUCUGGACAUUUGCUUUUGUUACAUUUUUAAUAGCAAUAACUUGACUACACACCAAAUGACAUUGAAGAAUUGUUAUCAAUUUACCAAUUUCAUUUUGUGUAAAAUGGAGGUAAGAGAACAUUUUUGAUAGCUUGAGGAGAUGGCAUUAUUUGAAUGAAAAUGAACUCUUUUGAUGAUCAAUAGGUCAGAGAAAGGCUGUUCUCUGCAUUCUGAGAUCAAGACGUCUGCAGAUGUUGUAGCUCAACCAUUCCAAAAUGAAAGGAUAGGUUAUAGAAUUUCUGGAUCAAAGGCAUUGCAUACAUUUCCUCCUGGAAAGUAUUUGCCUUGUCUUGGAGUGUUGCUCCUGCAGAUCUCUGAUGUUCCAGGCUGAGGCCUUCAGGAGGGAAUAUUAGGUGUGGUUUCCUGUCACUUUUAAAUAGGUAUGUAACAUCCAUUUUGUGUUCCCCUCCCUGCAGAUAGUCUUUCACCAGUACCAUAGUCCCUAUGAUUAGCUUUAUCAAACCAGCCAAUCUUAAAAUCCAAACAACCAAAUCUUAUAUAGUUCUUAUCUUUAUGUAUGGUUUUUGUAAUCCAAUGUGUUUCCAAUUUGUCAAUGCACUAUUGAAACCAGUAUUUUAUAACAGUUCUUCUGUUCAGGGGUCCAAUUAAUAACCAGCCAAAAUUGCAGUCCAGAAUGUUUAGCCACCUAAGCGUUUUCCAGUAAAACUUCCCCCCUAGAAGAUUAGCCAAAAGCCAAGGUUUUUCUUUCUCUGCAAACAAUUCUUGAGCUUAGAAAUCACAGCUCAGUAAAUAUUUAUAAUCUCAGAAGGUCAGCAGUUUUUAAAACAAAUGUGGUUCUCACUCUGUAGUAGAUAGCCCAAUAUAUUAUCUUUUCUCUGUCAGCUGUUCUUUAUUUGGCUAAAGUCUCUAGGUUCAAAGGAACUGUCAGACCUUCAAACACUCUGAAUACAGCCAUGUUUCUUCAUUUUUUGGCUACCACAGCAAUGGGAGGGGGAAGAUACAUUCUUAUAGUUUUAUAGUUUAGUCAAAAAAAUAAAUUUUGUGUGGGAGCCAAGAUCAAGCAGCAUAAGUGUUUGGCGGGCUGGAGCUACCGUUAGGAAGCCUGCCAAAGGUGUUAAUUGGGGAUAGUGAUUUAUGACACACUAAUGGGUAGGGAGUUUAACUUUUACUUUGUAACCUUUUUUUGAGGGGGGGGUAACUUUCUGUCUUGGUUUCACAUUUGUUCACCUUGGUUUCACCUUUGAUAUUAUGUAACCAUUAAAAGUGUUCCUUGAGGAAAGCAAUUGCCUCAGAGUUCUUAUUUCUACUGGUCUCAUUUAUCUGAACCAUGACAGGAACAUGUUUUUCUCUAUUUCUGAGUGUCUUGCCAAUUCCUGAGUCAAUGCGGCUGUAGUAUUAUACUCUAAUCCUCCACUAGAUGUCAGUAGCUAUUCAUUUUCCAACUUUUAAGCAAAGAAUUAUUUUCUUAUAUUUUCUUAUAACUUCAUCAAUACUCUUUUAGAUAUGGACUCUUAGCAGUUUUCAUAAUUUUCAGAUUUAUCCAAACUGUAGUAUUAUUAACUUCAAUAUAUUUCUGUCUCCCAUAAACAUUAAUUCGCUGCUUCCUUCUAUGGAAGGGUAGGAGUAGUCCCCUCCCUUCUCACUUUCGGAGGAUUUUUUGCUUUUUGGAGAUCUUUUCCAGGAAAUCAGUUACAAAAUAGGAGAAAGAAGACUGAUAUUCUCACCCAGUUCCAAGCACAUUGUUCACAUUUGUUCUGGUUAGUGCUUUUGGACUUUGGCUGCAGGUAGCUUGGGCUAGUCAGCUAGGUGUGGCUAGCCUUUCUCCUGUUGGGUUGGAGAGCUUCCCCUGGACAAAAGCAUUGACUACCAUCAUUCUGUGAUCAGCAGAGGGCCUCUUCUUCUUCGUCACCUCUCCGGGGUGAUUUUUGACCCAUUUAGGGUCCCCUGGCAGGGUGAAACCAGCUGUGGGGUAUAGAGCCCCACAAUCCUUUGGCCGCGUCACUAUAAUGCAAGACAGGAAAUCCCUGUUUUGUCAGAUUUCUAUUAUGCUAUAAAGCCAUGUCAUUUAUGUAUAAACAAAAAGAUAGUUGGGCAUGCUGAUAUUGAUUGACUCUAGUGUCUCGAUGCUCAAAUAUUUACAAUAAGAGUUGGAAUGACACUGAAAUUUUGAUCUCUUAACUUUUGAAUGCCAAGUGCAUACCUAUCUGUACAGUUUUUUCCACUUUCACCUACCAGUUCCUAUGUGUGGAGAAUAAUGGAAAUAUGCAGGAAGUAAAUAAAAAGAACUGGAACAUUAUUUAAGCCCAUUAAGAACAUUUGGAAGUGAUUGAGGCAACACAUAAUUAAUUCAUUGAAAGUUUGAGAAGGAGGAGGUACAGUAGUAUAAGAUUUAUAAAAUUCUGUCACUGUAAAACCAAUGGUUUUAGCCUUCUUGUGGAAUUGAUUUUCUGGUCUGGUCUGCCUAAUGGGGUUGAUAUUUUGUGACCUGAAUGUCUUCCUGGAUGAUAAAAGCUAGUCUUUAUUGUUCUCUUGCUUUUUCUGAACUUGAUCCCAUUUCUCUGAAUUUUUUUUGAACUCCUCAUAGUAUGUAAUACUUAAGGUGGGUAUCAUCAAAGUAGAAUAAAGUGAAAUUGUUUCUUAUGUGGAAAUUAUAAUUCUAUACAUGUAUCUUAAAAUAAUAUUUUUUUUUCUUGCAAACAGAUCAAACUACUGGCUUGUACUUAGUUUGCUAAAUUCUACUGUUUAGUUGCAUUUAAUUUUACUAAAUUACUAUUCCCAGGUCUUUUUCAUAAAUACUACUACCAGGCUAGUAUUCAUAUCUUGCAUUUGAGUUUUCUUUCCUACUUGAAGAAUGAAAGUUUCAAACCUGUCACUUUCAGUAUGUCUGCCUAGCAGUGCUAUAUGAUUUAGGAUAUUAACCUAAAUAUUCAAAAUUUUUGUUUGAAAAAUUUGUUAAACAUUUAAUCUGUUAUGUUCAAGUAAUUAAUGAAAAUGAGUGUGAGAGUUGGAUACUAAGAAUGGCUGAUUGAAGAAAAAUUGAUGCCUUUGAACUAUGAUGCUGGUGUAAAUUAUUGCAUAUACUAUGGACAGCCAGAGUAACUAACAGAGAAGUGUUAAAUUGUAUAAAACCAGACACAUCACUAGAAUCAUAAGACUACAUCUGAUUUACUUUGGCCAUGUUAUGUGUGCAAAUUCAUUGCAAAAGGCAAUGAUGCUAGGAAUGGUUAGUGGAACAAGAAGAAGGGGCACACAAAGAAUACAAUGGCUUAAUAACAUCAUAUCUGAUACAAAGUUGAACAUCUAACAAUUGAGAGAAACUGAACUUGACAGGAUAGCAUGGAGAGUCCUUGCCUAUAAAGUUGCCAAGAAUUGGACAUGGUCAAUAGUUAAAACAACAACAAUUAAUGAAAAUAUGAUAUAGUAGAGGAUAAAGCAUGAUUCUUAUGCAUCCCAUCUGAAAAUUUUCUCAGGGCAGUAUAUAUAUAUAUAUCAAUACCAAAGAAAGGAGUCUUUAUAAGUGUGCAAACUAUUGUAUAACAUCAAUUUCAGAUACUGACACAAUAAUUCUUUGGAUCAUUCAGUGCAGAUCAAAUGCUUACAUGGAAAGGGAGAUGUUCAAGCUGGCUUUAGAAAAAGAUGAGGAACAAGACACAUUAUUAUUGAUGCAUGUUGACUACCGUAAAUGCCGGUGUAUUAGGCGACCCGGCGUAUAAGACGACCCCCGUCUUUAUAGCCGGGCCGCAUUCCUAGAACGUGGUCUUAUACACCGGAAACUACCAGUAUUUC